GAUAACCAGUCGAAAGAUUGGCUAAUACCAAAUAAGCCCACAGGGACUUCGGUCCUCGAGGGAAAAGGNGGCCUCUGUAUNCAAGCUAUCNCUACUAGAUGAGCCCGCGGCCCAUCAGCUAGUUGGCGGGGUAACGGCCCACCAAGGCAACGACGGGUAGCUGGUCUGAGAGGACGAUCAGCCACACUGGAACUGAGACACGGUCCAGACUCCUACGGGAGGCAGCAGUGGGGAAUUUUGCGCAAUGGGCGAAAGCCUGACGCAGCAACGCCGCGUGUGUGAUGAAGGUCUUCGGAUUGUAAAGCACUUUCGACCGGGACGAAAACCCCCAACCUAACACGCUGGGGCUUGACGGUACCGGGAGAAGAAGCACCGGCUAACUCUGUGCCAGCAGCCGCGGUAAUACAGAGGGUGCAAGCGUUGUUCGGAAUUAUUGGGCGUAAAGCGCGUGUAGGCGGCUUUGCAAGUCGGGUGUGAAAGCCCUCAGCUCAACUGAGGAAGUGCGCCCGAAACUGCAGAGCUUGAGUGCCGGAGAGGGUAGCGGAAUUCCCCAAGUAGAGGUGAAAUUCGUAGAUAUGGGGAGGAACACCGGUGGCGAAGGCGGCUACCUGGACGGUGACUGACGCUGAAACCCGAAAGCGUGGGUAGCAAACAGGAUUAGAUCCCUGGUUAGUCCACGCCGUAAACGAUGAGAACUAGGUGUCGUGGGAGUUGACCCCCG
rnacentral:rRNA from 1 species